rnacentral:lncRNA from 1 species
CUCUUUAUGAAAUAUCCAAUUGUUAUAAUAAGACUAGCUCAUGUUGAUAUGUUUGUAGUAAACAAUUAACUCUUUAUGAUAACACACUGUUGAAGAAGGAAAAGAGCUAUUAUUAAUUAUUCCAAUUUCAGAGGAAGGAAUAGAAGCUCAGGGAGGACUGACCAAGGCAUAAAAAUAUUAAAAUAGGGGUUCCAGAAGAUAUCGAAGUUUCAAUUUCUGG